rnacentral:rRNA from 1 species
AACGAACGCUGGCGGCAGGCCUAACACAUGCAAGUCGAACGGCAGCACGGGAGCAAUCCUGGUGGCGAGUGGCGAACGGGUGAGUAAUAUAUCGGAACGUGCCCAGUCGUGGGGGAUAACGUAGCGAAAGCUACGCUAAUACCGCAUACGAUCUAUGGAUGAAAGCGGGGGAUCGCAAGACCUCGCGCGAUUGGAGCGGCCGAUAUCAGAUUAGGUAGUUGGUGAGGUAAAGGCUCACCAAGCCGACGAUCUGUAGCUGGUCUGAGAGGACGACCAGCCACACUGGGACUGAGACACGGCCCAGACUCCUACGGGAGGCAGCAGUGGGGAAUUUUGGACAAUGGGCGCAAGCCUGAUCCAGCAAUGCCGCGUGCAGGAUGAAGGCCU